rnacentral:rRNA from 1 species
UACAGAGGGUGCAAGCGUCGUUCGGAAUUAUUGGGCGUAAAGCGCGUGUAGGCGGCUUUGCAAGUCGGGUGUGAAAGCCCUCGGCUCAACCGAGGAAGUGCGCCCGAAACUGCAGAGCUUGAGUACCGGAGAGGAUGGCGGAAUUCCCCAAGUAGAGGUGAAAUUCGUAGAUAUGGGGAGGAACACCGGUGGCGAAGGCGGCCAUCUGGACGGAUACUGACGCUGAGACGCGAAAGCGUGGGUAGCAAACAGG